UACGUAGGGUGCAAGCGUUAAUCGGAAUUACUGGGCGUAAAGGGCGCGUAGGCGGCCCUCUAAGUCAGACGUGAAAUCCCCCGGCUUAACCUGGGAACUGCGUCUGAUACUGGAGGGCUUGAGUAUGGGAGAGGGAUGUAGAAUUCCCGGUGUAGCGGUGAAAUGCGCAGAUAUCGGGAGGAACACCAAUUGCGAAGGCAGCUCGCUGGGACGUUACUGACGCUGAGACGCGAAAGCGUGGGGAGCAAACAGGG
rnacentral:rRNA from 1 species